rnacentral:rRNA from 1 species
UACGGAGGGUGCAAGCGUUGUUCGGAUUUAUUGGGCGUAAAGCGCGCGCAGGCGGGUUUGUAAGUCAGAUGUGAAAUCUCGGGGCUCAACUCCGAAACUGCGUCUGAAACUACAAAUCUAGAAUCUCAUAGGGGGUAGGGGAAUUUCACGUGUAGGGGUAAAAUCCGUAGAGAUGUGAAGGAACACCUGAGGCGAAGGCGCCUACCUGGAUGAGUAUUGACGCUGAGGCGCGAAAGCGUGGGGAGCAAACAGGAUUAGAUACCCUGGUAGUCCACGCCGUAAACGAUGGGUACUAGUUAUUAGAGGUAUUGACCCCUUUAGUGACGUAGCUAACGCGUUAAGUACCCCGCCUGGGGAGUACGGUCGCAAGAUUAAA